AUGCCCACCUUGCCCUCCCUUAGGCUUUGGCUCCAUGGGCAGGGUUUGGGGGGGAGGGGAUGCCAUCCCCUGGGCUCCUUGCCCCUCCAGGUGACAGGGAUUAGUCACGAUCCACCACGAUCCAUCCCCGCUACAUUGCCUCUGGCUGCUGUGCCACUGCCCCAACCCCUGCUCGCUGCCCUGGGCCGCUCGUCCCCCUGCCCCACAUCCCCCCCCCCGGCCCCGUGCCUGGGCCAAAUCCUGCCCUGCUGCCCAGUCCUGCUGCUCUGCUGUGCUGGGGUGGUGGGCGAUCUGAGGGGCCGGUGCCAGUGCAGGGGCAGGGCCAGCAAUGCCAGCAGACCCCACGGGGAGUGGGGGGGGGCUGGCUCCUGCCUCCUCCCUGCCCCAGCUGCCCCCGGAGGUGGCUCAGCCCCGCGUAGCCUCUUGGGGCGGCUGCACUGGCUCCCCACGUGCCAAAAGGGCAUUGCCUGCACCCGGCUGGGGGCUGCUGGCUCUGCCCCGGCCGAGGACAUCACGUGGGGACACCAGGGACGGGGGGGACACAUGAAGACACCUGGAGACAUGCAGGGGACUGUGAGGGUCCCUGUGUGCCCACAGCACUGCCCGCUGGAGCGAGGGGAGUGCUCCAGGUGCCCUGCUCCCCAUGCCUUCCUCCCCACGCCAUCCCCCAGCUCUGCUGCACUGGCUGGGGGGGACGCGGGUGCAGUGGGGCAGGGGGGGCAUGGCUGGGUCCUUGUCUGCAGGUGGGGAGAUGGUGAGAGGAAAUUUUGGGGGAGUCAGGAAGGCUGUGCCCAUUUAUGCCAUGUAAUGAGUUGUUGGGUCUCUGCAGGCACAGCCUGGGGGCCUGGCCAGGUUGCUUGGGGCCAGUCUAGUGGGGACUUAGCUGGGCUGGGGGGGACGUGCUGGCAUCGGGAGGGUGGGUGUGUAAUGGAGUCAGGUCAGCAGCACAGCAGGGAGGCAGCUGCCUGUCCCCAGCUCAGGGCUGUUGGAGAGGGUGGUGGUGGCCCAGGGGUGGGGGGCUGCAGGGCCCCUCUCCCAGCCCCUUCCCCUGCUCCGCUCCAGGGCAGUGAGGCCAGGGGUUUCUCUUCUGUUCUUGUUUUUGCAGAAUUGCACAAAGAGAGGUUUCCUUUUUCUUUUUUUUCUUUUUUUUUUAAUUUAAUGAAUUGUAAAGUGUUGUCACCCCCCCCUCCCCCCCCCCCCCUUUUUUUUUUAAGAGAUAUUUUGGCUCAGAUUUGA
rnacentral:lncRNA from 1 species